GACGAACGCUGGCGGCGUGCUUAACACAUGCAAGUCGAACGGAAAGGCCCUGCUUUUGUUGGGUGCUCGAGUGGCGAACGGGUGAGUAACACGUGAGUAACCUGCCCUUGACUUUGGGAUAACUUCAGGAAACUGGGGCUAAUACCGGAUAGGAGCUCCUGCUGCAUGGUGGUGGUUGGAAAGUUUCGGCGGUUGGGGUUGGACUCGCGGCUUAUCAGCUUGUUGGUGUGGUAGUGGCAUACCAAGGCUUUGACGGUUAGCCGGCCUGAGAGGGUGACAGGCCACAUUGGGAUAGGGAUACGGGCCAGACUCCUACGGGAGGCAGCAGUGGGGAAUUGUGCACAAUGGGCGGAAGCCGUAUGCAGCAACGCCGCGUGCGGGAUGACGGCCUUCGGGUUGUAAACCGCUUGCGCCUGUGACGAAGCGUGAGUGACGGUAAUGGGUAAAGAAGCACCGGCUAACUACGUG
rnacentral:rRNA from 1 species